rnacentral:lncRNA from 1 species
CCCCCCUCCCCUUUUUCUUUUUCUUUUCUCGAGUGAGGAUUUUCCCUCGCCCUUAGUGGGGUCGCGGGAGCACGGAGGGGCCGCUGAGAAGGUUUUCUUUUUCUUAUCUGGUCUUGAAUGACCAGACCUUAAUUGGUGUCAGGACGAGGUCCUUCCUCUAUUUCUGAUGUAAUCGAUUUCAGCUCAGGUUAGGACGAGGCUCUCCUUCUAUUCCUAAUUGGGCUAUGGGGGCACAUAUGGGCGUUGUAGGACCUCUCCUCCCAUCUGGUCUAAGGGUAACCAGGCCUUUGCCUUUGCUCAUGUUAAGGCGAGGUUCUCCUCCUGUCCCUAACAGGGCUGUGGGGGCACAUAUGGGCGUUGCAGGGCCUCUCCCCCCAUCCAAUCUAAGUGUAACCGGGCCUUCGACUUUGCUCCUGUUAGGACGAGGUUCUCCUCCUGUCCCUAACAAGACUGUGG